AAUUCUAAUAGAAAUGUUUUGGAAAAGCAUACCAUAGACGGUGAAAGUCCAGUAUAUGAAAGAAAGUUGAGAUUAGUGGUAUCCAGAGUAGUACGAGACACGAGAAAUCUCGUAUGAAUGAGCGGGGACCAUCCCGUAAGGCUAAAUACUACUUGGUGACCGAUAGUGAACUAGUACCGUGAGGGAAAGGUGAAAAGAACCCCGGGAGGGGAGUGAAAUAGAACAUGAAACCCUAUGUUUACAAGCAGACAAAGCACUUUAUGAGUGCGAUGUCGUACUUUUUGUAGAACGGUCCAGCGAGUUAUUGUAUGGCGAGGUUAAGUAUUACGUAAGGUACGGAGCCGAAGCGAAAGCGAGUCUGAAUAGUGCGAAAAGUC
rnacentral:rRNA from 1 species